rnacentral:misc_RNA from 1 species
GAUGAAGAACGCAGUGAAAUGCGAUACGUAAUGUGAAUUGCAGAAUUCAGUGAAUCAUCGAGUCUUUGAACGCACAUUGCGCCCCCUGGUAUUCCGGGGGGCAUGCCUGUCCGAGCGUCAUUGCUGCCCUCAAGCACGGCUUGUGUGUUGGGCCUCCGUCCUCCUCCCGGGGGACGGGCCCGAAAGGCAGCGGCGGCACCGCGUCCGGUCCUCGAGCGUAUGGGACUUCGUCACCCGCUCUUGUAGGCCCGGCCGGCGCUUGCCGACACAUCAAUCUUUUUUCCAGGUUGACCUCGGAUCAGGUAGGGAUACCCGCUGAACUUAAGCAUAUCAAUAAGCGGAGGA